AAUGUCAGGAUUGAAAAUAUUAACUAUAUGUUUAACUUUCAGUGUUUCAUACUUCCCUUAAGAGAUGUACCACUGAAUGCUUAGAAACCUGAUUUUAAAUAGGUAUAUUUUUUAAAGGAGACUUAAGAGCGAUAUCAAAAAAUCACAUUCAGCAUUUUCAAUGCACUAUUUCUAAGAAUGUUUUGUUGAAUUAUAUGGUAGAAGACUUUUUGUAUUAUGAAUACCCAUGGGCAAAUUGGAAGCAUAAACUUGGAUUUUCUCAUGUUUAAAUGACUUAAAGACAAGUUGUAUAUUUUUAUUCAUUGUUACAGAUUUGUUUCCUCUUCAUGAUAAAUUUAUGUGCAGGUCUGAUUGUACAGUUUAAAGUUUGGUCUACAUUUUGUUUCUUCCUGGCUGAGCACCUCUGUGUUGAGUGCUAAUAGCUUUUUUUUUUAAUCUAGGUUAACUACUGUGAGAUAGUGGGGCCCCAAUGAAACAUAUAAGCAUACCUUUUAAAAUGUUGCCAAAUAGUCUUCAGAGAACAUACUUAAUACAAAAAUGCUGUGCAGACAUCAUUCCGAUUGAUCGACUGAUGGAUGACUCCGCAGUUUGGAUUAGAGAGAGUAAGAAUUAGCCAGCCAGCAUGAUUUGAAAAUGUCACAGGAGGGUGCCAGCAGGAUGAUGUCAGCCCUUGCUUUGGCCUAUGCAGCAUAGCACAGUCAUUUCAUAAAGAAUUGAUACUAUGACACAGGGUGCUGGAUGUGCAUUGGGCACAUCUGUAAUUAUAGAACUGAGUUUCUGAAUGAGUCAAAACAAGGUUUAGUUAGUUCAUAAUGUUCAAAAAUAGCUGUUUUUAAAUUAGACUCUGCUAAUUUAAAUUAUUGUUUAAAAAAUUAGCAUUUUCAGUGGCUGCUUUAUAUUCCUUUAGAGCAAUGGCCUACAUGUUUAAUAUAGUCAUUUUGAAUAGGCAUUGCUUUUUAUUCAUGUAAAGUCUGUAUUUCCCUCUAUCUUAGUAGCCUGGUAAAAACUGAACCCUGAUUUCCAGUAUUCAGUUGUUUAAAGAUUAGUAUAUUAACUCUGUAUUUUUAAGAAAUUUUCCCAGUGAAAGAAUUUUCUGAAAAGAAUGUCAUAGGAAAAUCUAGGCUAAUACUUCUCUACACAGCACUCAGUAUUUGUUAUUGCUCUACAGAGUAAUUUAAGUUAUAGAGUCCAUUGAAUCUUGUGGCUGGGUUGGAUAUUACCCAAAGCUGCAUUCAAAGGAAGAGCAGUGGUAAUAUCUAAAUAUAUAGUUUGAACUAUAUAUGUGGACAUAACUUACAAAUAUUAAAAUAAAAGGAGUAGUCAUAUAUAUAACCAAACAUUUCCUCUGUACUGAGGUAUAUUCAGUAUUAUACUAUGUACAUUUAAAAAGUAACCCUGUAAGUUACACUAAUGCAGGAGUUUGUAUGGAAGUAUUGCAUGUUCGCAGGAUUUCAGAGGCACUUUCUUAAUAAUGUGUUAAUGGUGUUAAUGUCUGUUUUAUUUAUUCUUUGGAUUUUUUUGUUUUCAUUUUUGGGUUUUUGUUGUUGUUACAUAAAAUAAAACUAUAUAAGGCUAUUUGUGCCCUAUAUAAAAUAGCUAUUUUAAAGAGAAUUUUAAAGUGUCAUAUUGUCUUAUGUGCCCAUGCAUUUAUAUAGUGGUCAGAAGUGUGUCUUAUAAAUAGUAUAAUCAUGUAGUAACGUCCCCUGUACCUGAGUUUCAGUGCAGUUAAGGGGCGUAAUUGCAGGGUCUUUUAAUACACAGUUUACUAUCUACAAGUACUUACCUUAGCAGGCAAUUGUUUUUGUUUUUUCUUUUUUUAAAAAAAAAAGUAUGGUAAACCUUCAUACUUUAGUUUUACAAAGUAAUAAUAAACUGUUUUGAUAUUAACA
rnacentral:lncRNA from 10 species